UACGUAGGGUGCAAGCGUUAAUCGGAAUUACUGGGCGUAAAGCGUGCGCAGGCGGUUUUGUAAGUCUGUCGUGAAAUCCCCGGGCUCAACCUGGGAAUUGCGAUGGAGACUGCAAGGCUAGAAUCUGGCAGAGGGGGGUAGAAUUCCACGUGUAGCAGUGAAAUGCGUAGAGAUGUGGAGGAACACCGAUGGCGAAGGCAGCCCCCUGGGUCAAGAUUGACGCUCAUGCACGAAAGCUGGG
rnacentral:rRNA from 1 species